CGGCCGGAACGAGGUCGAAGGCUACUUCCAGCGGUUCGUGGCCGCUGUACGGACGCAGCGGUUCGACAUCGAACGGAUCGUC
rnacentral:tRNA from 1 species